GGCCGUGUGGCUCAAUGGCAGAGCGUCUGACUACGAUCAAGUAUAUCAGGAGGUUGCAGGUUCGACCCCUGUCUCGGUCA
rnacentral:tRNA from 4 species